rnacentral:rRNA from 1 species
AUUGAACGCUGGCGGCCGGCCUAACACAUGCAAGUCGCACGAGUGGCGGACGGGUGAGUAAUGUCUGGGAAACUGCCUGAUGGAGGGGGAUAACUACUGGAAACGGUAGCUAAUACCGCAUACCAUCAGAUGUGCCCAGAUGUGAUUAUAUAUGUGGGGGGGUAACGGCUCACAAAGGCGACGAUCCCGAGCUGGUCUGAGAGGAUGACCAGCCACACUGGAACUGAGAAACGGUCCAGACUCCGACGGGAGGCAGCAGUGGGGAAGAUUGCACAAUGGGCGCAAGCCUGAUGCAGCCAUGCCGCGUGUAGGAAGAAGGCCUGCGGGUUGUAAAGUACUUUCAGCGGGGAGGCGUUACCCGCAGAAGAAGCACCGGCUAACCCCGUGCCAGCAGCCGCGGUAAUAC